AACGAACGCUGGCGGCAUGCCUAACACAUGCAAGUCGAACGAGACCUUCGGGUCUAGUGGCGCACGGGUGCGUAACGCGUGGGAAUCUGCCCUUGGGUUCGGAAUAACAGUUGGAAACGACUGCUAAUACCGGAUGAUGACGUAAGUCCAAAGAUUUAUCGCCCAAGGAUGAGCCCGCGUAGGAUUAGCUAGUUGGCGAGGUAAAGGCUCACCAAGGCGACGAUCCUUAGCUGGUCUGAGAGGAUGAUCAGCCACACUGGGACUGAGACACGGCCCAGACUCCUACGGGAGGCAGCAGUGGGGAAUAUUGGACAAUGGGCGAAAGCCUGAUCCAGCAAUGCCGCGUGAGUGAUGAAGGCCUUAGGGUUGUAAAGCUCUUUUACCCGGGAUGAUAAUGACAGUACCGGGAGAAUAAGCUCCGGCUAACUCCGUG
rnacentral:rRNA from 1 species